rnacentral:rRNA from 1 species
AUUGAACGCUGGCGGCAGGCCUAACACAUGCAAGUCGAACGAGUGGCGGACGGGUGAGUAAUGUCUGGGAAACUGCCUGAUGGAGGGGGAACACUACUGGAAACUGUAUCUAAUACCGCAUACCAUCAGAUGUGCCCAGAUUGGAUUAGCUAGGAGGUGGGGGAAAGGCGCACCUAGGCGAAGAUCCCUAUCUGGUCUGAGAGGAUGACCAGCCAACCUGGAACUGAGAAACGGGCCAGACUCCUCUGGGAGGCAGCAGUGGGGAAUAUUGCACAAUGGGGGCAAGCCUUAUGCAGCCAUGCCGCGUGUAUGAAGAAGGCCUUAGGGUUGUAAAGUACUUUCAGCGGGGAGGCGUUACCCGCAGAAGAAGCACCGGCUAACUCCGUGCCAGCAGCCGCGGUAAUUC